AGCUCGAGGUCCGCCAGCUCUGCUCCAGCACCCUGCAGUCCCUGGCUGACUCCCCCAGAAUGGCCAAUGUUUUAUGGCCUGGGCUGCUCCUUCAACUGAGCCCAGCAGCCCAUGGGCCAGCCCUGCCUCUCCUCCUGCAGACCUCGGUCGAGGUGGUAAAGAGGAUGCAGGAGGAAGGCAGGCUGCCCUUGGCCAGGAGGUGCGGCAAGGCGAACAGAGGGUGUCGGUCAAGCCCCAAGUCCACUCUACCCC